GGAGUCAUAACUCAAAAAUUAAAACGCGUCUCGGCUCACCCAACUUUCUCCUAAACCAGUUUCGUUUUACAGUAACACUUUUGACUUCUUUUAACUGAUUGAAAGAUUCCCGCAAAAGUUAUUCACAUAAAAAAAUACUCAAUGUGUGAAUCAUAAUAGAAGAAACUUUUUUUACGGUUUCACCAUGACCAAAGGUUUUGGUAGUAACUGCAAUGUAGCUAAAAACAUCCGAAGAACAGCCGCAAGGUUAGUUUCCAAAACUUAUGCAAAUAAUGGGAUGACUCUUCGAUUUUGUAAGUCUCCAUAUACGGUCAACAGAAAGACCUGCUGAGUCCCACCUUGAUAGAAAAGUUACAUGACGUUAGUAUUUUAGUGUUAAAAUUGACUACCCGAGCACCAGAACUCUCGUCAUGAAGUCUACAACGAUUCCUAGUUCGACUAUCUUAAUAACCAAUGUUUUAUUCCUUUUGCUUUUCGCCGAAGUACUGUGCAUGCCCCAGUACCACGGGACAAGUAAACCUUGUUACCCGGAAUCUGAUGAUUGCACCUUUAUAGUACCAGUGCCAGGUUUUGUUGCAGGUAUUGCUGCUUUACCAUCGAUUGGAAAAUGGCCUCCAUGCCCACCGGGUUUUACACGUGGUUAUGACGGGGAAUGUAGAAAAAGAGGAACUAUCGGAUAGAAACAAUUGAAAAUACCGG
rnacentral:lncRNA from 1 species